rnacentral:rRNA from 1 species
GAUGAACGCUAGCGGCAGGCUUAAUACAUGCAAGUCGAGGGGCAGCAUGGUGUAGCAAUACACUGAUGGCGACCGGCAAACGGGUGCGGAACACGUAUGCAAUCUACCCAAAACUGAUGAAUAGCCCUCCGAAAGGAGGAUUAAUACAUCGUAAGAUAAUGAAGUGGCAUCGCUUUAUUAUUAUAGCUCCGGCGGUUUUGGAUGAGCGUGCGCCUGAUUAGGUAGUUGGCGGGGUAACGGCCCACCAAGCCUGCGAUCAGUAACUGGUGUGCGAGCACGACCAGUCACACGGGCACUGAGACACGGGCCCGACUCCUACGGGAGGCAGCAGUAAGGAAUAUUGGUCUAUGGACGCAAGUCUGAACCAGCCAUGCCGCGUGAAGGAUGAAGGUCCUCUGGAUUGUAAACUUCUUUUAUAUGGGAAGAAAUUCUCGCAUUCUUGCGGGAUUGACGGUACCAUAGGAAUAAGCACCGGCUAACUCCGUGCCAGCAGCCGCGGUAA